UAAAGCAUCCCAAGGCUCCCAGAACAACUGCAGAGGCAAACCUUAAACCUGCCAUUAAACCAGCAGAGGGGGAAUGGCAGAACCAGCCCCAGCCCCGCUGUCCCGCCUGGUUGUCCCUGUGCUCCUGGCACUUGGCUGGCUCCUGGGAUGUGCCCUCAUGGUUUACAUUGUCUUCUCCUGAUGGCAGACAGAAGAAUUUACAGGGAUGUUGAUUAGAAGAACCUGGAAGUUCAACUGAGAUUUCUAAUGGCUAAAAUAAGAAUGGAAACACAAACAUAUUUGUCUGUAGUGCAGCCGUGAACAUUCCUUGGCCGCUCCAGCAGCCUCAGCAACAGCACUCAAGUGUGACAUUCCCUUUGGGAAUUGUCUCAACACCGAGUUGCUUCACCUGCAAAUGACCUGAGGGCACAGGGGGGAUGCUGUUUCAUCAGGUGUCCUGGAAGAGAGGGGACAAACCCUGCAGUCUCUUGGAGAGCUGGAGAUUCCCAAUCCCUGCAGCAAGUGAGGACCUCCAGCAUCACUGUCAGU